GAUGAACGCUAGCUACAGGCUUAACACAUGCAAGUCGAGGGGAAACGGCAUUAAGUGCUUGCACUUUUUGGACGUCGACCGGCGCACGGGUGAGUAACGCGUAUCCAACCUUCCCAUGACUAAGGGAUAACCUGCCGAAAGGCAGACUAAUACCUUAUGGUCUUCACUGACGGCAUCAGAUGUGAAGUAAAGAUUUAUCGGUUAUGGAUGGGGAUGCGUCUGAUUAGCUUGUUGGCGGGGUAACGGCCUACCAAGGCAACGAUCAGUAGGGGUUCUGAGAGGAAGGUCCCCCAAAUUGGAACUGAGACACGGUCCAAACUCCUACGGGAGGCAGCAGUGAGGAAUAUUGGUCAAUGGGCGAGAGCCUGAACCAGCCAAGUAGCGUGCAGGAUGACGGCCCUAUGGGUUGUAAACUGCUUUUGUAUGGGGAUAAAGUCAAUCACGUGUGAUUGUUUGCAGGUACCAUACGAAUAAGGACCGGCUAAUUCCGUG
rnacentral:rRNA from 1 species